CAGCAGCCGCGGUAAAACGUAGGGUGCAAGCGUUAAUCGGAAUUACUGGGCGUAAAGCGUGCGCAGGCGGUUAUAUAAGACAGAUGUGAAAUCCCCGGGCUCAACCUGGGAACUGCAUUUGUGACUGUAUAGCUAGAGUACGGCAGAGGGGGAUGGAAUUCCGCGUGUAGCAGUGAAAUGCGUAGAUAUGCGGAGGAACACCGAUGGCGAAGGCAAUCCCCUGGGCCUGUACUGACGCUCAUGCACGAAAGCGUGGGGAGCAAACAGGAUUAGAUACCCCGGUAGUCCCUGUCUCUUAUAA
rnacentral:rRNA from 1 species